UACGGAGGGGGCUAGCGUUGUUCGGAAUUACUGGGCGUAAAGCGCACGUAGGCGGCUUUGUAAGUUAGAGGUGAAAGCCCGGAGCUCAACUCCGGAAUUGCCUUUAAGACUGCAUCGCUAGAACGUCGGAGAGGUGAGUGGAAUUCCGAGUGUAGAGGUGAAAUUCGUAGAUAUUGGGAAGAACACCGAUGGCGAAGGCAGCCAUCUGGACCGACACUGACGCUGAGGCGCGAAAGCGUGGGGAGCAAACAGG
rnacentral:rRNA from 1 species